rnacentral:lncRNA from 1 species
AUGACUUCCAUUAUUUUGUAAUAAAAGGCUUAAAGCACAAUGUGAGCUUUUUUUAGAUGCUACGUUCCAAGUGAGUAGUGUGUUGUUAAUUUUUAUAUUAAUGCAGGGUGCCAGCAGAACUCCGUGCAGAAUCUAAAGAAGAAAAUCACUUUCCCACAGCUCUGAUACCUGGUGACCGAUUUUAGCUUAUUUAUUUUAUUUUAUUUUAUUUUAUUUUAUAUUUUAUUUUAUUUUUUGUCAUCUCCUAGAUGAAAUGAACAUCCUUUCCACAGCGAUGCAGUAUAGAUAUUUCCAACACAAGGACCCUUCUCCCCAGUGACAAGAGAGUUCCUUGCUAAACCAUAGUUCUGUCACCAGCACAUGCAUUGGGUACAGCUUCCUACCUUCCCCUGUGCAUCUUCCUGAGAGCUGGAGAUGACGAGAUCCUCUACUUGUAUUCCCCAGUGAAAAGCUGACAACACUCUAUUGUCUGCCUACUAAUGAGCUUUCUUGUAUGGAAGAUGAUAAAGCAAAAUCUAAUCACAUCUAUGUCCCCAAACACACUUCAGCCCAAGUGGAUUCAGCACAAAUAAAUUAUCGCGCUGUAAGGAUCCCGAGGGAAAAGUUGAUAAGCCAGAUCCCAUUCUCUCCACAUGUGUCUCAACAAAUAUAUCAUCUUAAGAAG